UACGUAGGGUGCAAGCGUUGUCCGGAAUUAUUGGGCGUAAAGAGCUCGUAGGCGGUUCGUCGCGUCGGCUGUGAAAUCCCGAGGCUCAACCUCGGGUCUGCAGUCGAUACGGGCGGACUGGAGUUCGGCAGGGGAGACUGGAAUUCCUGGUGUAGCGGUGAAAUGCGCAGAUAUCAGGAGGAACACCGGUGGCGAAGGCGGGUCUCUGGGCCGAUAUCUGACGCUGAGGAGCGAAAGCGUGGGGAGCGAACAGG
rnacentral:rRNA from 1 species